UCUGGCUUUCACCCGCAAAGAGAAUUCUACUCCAGGGCUCAUGGGACGGAGGAGCAUAAGGCUAAAUGCAACUCAGGUUUAUGCGUUUGAGCCAAAUAAUUGGUGAGUUUGGCCAAGAUUCAAGUUCAUUCUGAAGCAUUAAAUCAAAGUGUUAGAGGUUUGCUUCCAACAGUUUGGAAAGCCUCUAGUAGUGAAUUACGAAUCGGUCAAAGCCCCACUCCCACCCCAUAAUCAAUCUAGUCGAGGUGACAGAGCAAAGUGGUGCCAGGACCUGGCCUGUGUGGCAAAAAUAAGCAGAAGAAUCAGAACAGUAAAUUUCAUUGUUAGCAGCUCUUCUGAGCAAACAGGAGGGAACGAAGAAGGAAAGGAAUAAUAUAACAAAGCAGAGACUUGGAAGAGGAAGGAUACAGUUAUUCCCAAGCAGAGUUGCAGAGAAAGGGUGGGAAUCAAAAAGAGGAGGGAAUCUCAGCACACCCCAAACUUAGGCUAAAUGGUAACAGACAUUUGAUAGAGGGCUUUAAAUUUAAAAACCAACACACAAACAAACAAACAAACAGAAAUAAAAACAAACAACAACAACAAAAAAAAAACCCUUAAUGUAGGAAGAGAAAACAGAAGAGACAAGAAACCAAUUGGAGCAAAGUUACAUUCCCCCAAAUUUAUCGGAAGCGGAAGCUCCCAGGAAGAGAUCUGUGAGUACCAUGGACUACACUGGCUGGAAAAGUGACAUUCCCCCAAAUUCAUCAGAAGUGGACCCGGAAGAGAUCCAAAUACGUUCUCAUUUUUCUGAAAUACCACCAACAUUUUCCUGGAACUUUACUUCGGCCUCUUUCCCUGUAAUGUGAGACAGUCUGAUACAUCUGCAGUGCCCUUGCUAUAUGCAUUACACGCUAUGACUAGGCACCGGGCUGGGUCAACUCUACGCCAAGGUUAUAUUCAGGGUCGUAUACUUGAUUGAAACACUCUUCACUCCAGACAUUUCUGUUCUCUAGAAUGUAAAUUUCAUUACUUCAGAGACAGCAUAACUUUGAACAAUAAUAUAAAUGGACAAUAAUUGGCAAAAUGAGAAUGAUGGCGAUGGAAGAACAAGGUGCUUCUGGAUGGAAUUCCACAACGACCUGGUAGCCACGUUUGGAAAGCACACAUUUUCCAUGGAGGUGACUCCCUGAGCUACACUUUGGCAUGAUGAAUGGAUCUCCAAUGCUCCAGCAGCCUCAUCCGCAACGGCAAAUAUUCAGUGCAUCCUUACAGCUCUUUGCAGAACCUGCCAACAUGUUGACGAAAUAUGUGGUUUAUAAUAAACUCAUUAGCCUUUUUAUCUAAAAUUGAGGCUGGGCACGUUGGUUCACACCUGUCAUCCCAGAACUUUUGGAGGCUGAGGUGAGAGAAUCUCUUGAGCCCAAGAGUUCAAGACUGCAGUGAGCUAAGAUCACGCCAUUGUACUCCAUCCUGGUGACAGAGGGAGGCCCUGUUUCUACAAUACAUUUAAAAUAAAUAAGAAAAAUAAAAUAGAUAAUAUUUUUGUUUUGCAAUUUGGG
rnacentral:lncRNA from 10 species